rnacentral:rRNA from 1 species
UACGUAGGGGGCGAGCGUUGUCCGGAAUUACUGGGCGUAAAGAGCGCGCAGGCGGCUGGUCAAGUCCGACGUGAAAUCUCCCGGCUUAACUGGGAAAUUGCAUCGGAAACUGAUCGGCUUGAAGGUGGGAGAGGGUAGCGGAAUUCCCGGUGUAGUGGUGAAAUGCGUAGAGAUCGGGAGGAAGACCGGUGGCGAAGGCGGUCUGCUGGGCAGUUUCUGACACUGAGGCGCGACAGCGUGGGGAGCAAACAGG